CUGGUUGCACUCCCUCUGCAUGGUCCACGCGCCGAGUUUUCGACCUCGACCACGCCCAACCGUCCGGUGGCAGCCAUGGACCGCGACCUCCCCGAUCAUGCCCCACCAUCUCACGUUCCCUCCUCGCCUCUAGAGCUCCGCUGUUGCUUCCGUCUCGGCCGUCAGCCGUUGGCAUCACCGCCAUCGUCUUCACCUUGGUGCAACCAUCUCCUUCUUGGCUUGAACAUACACUGAAUAUUUCAGGCUUGCAUUCAGUAUUUGUUAUGUUGAUCACCUUGCUCUGCUCUUCCUUUGAGAAACACCAAUGCGGCUUAUAUGUCUCAGCACACUAUAUACCCAAGUUAUGACAUUAUCCAAGCAACGCACUCUGGAGAAAACCCGAUCCUUUUCUGAUUUCAGUGAUCCAGUGAUGGACUCAAAAUUCUGAUACGUACCAACUACUAUUUCUUUUCUUUUUCUUGAAAAGGACUAACUACUAUUUCUCUGUGUUGGUGGCAACUUUUAAACAGUGUCUUCACACAUUAGCGAUUUUUACUUGUAAGCACAUGCCAAUUCAGUUUGCAGAAUGAAAUCUUAUAUGACAUUGUGAUUUGCUUACACUCAACACAGCUAUAGCAAAAUGACAUACGGAUUGUAAGUGAUUAGUCAGAGUCAGUGACAUCCGGUUAGUAACCUGAUAUAAUGAGCAUCUUUACGUUUUUGGUUCCUGACCAUUAAGCCCACAAGUGAGAAACUGCUGUUUUGAAGUCAGGACUAUCUUUUUUCUCAGUGGGAAGUGCUUUUUCUUGCCCUUUCUGUACACCAGCAACUAGAUGCACCAUCAGAGUGGCUGUGAGGCAGUAACGUUGAAUCUGAACUUGGCGAAUUUGUGUUCUAGCGCCAUUGAAUAUCAGGUUGGUUAAAGAUCGAACAUUAGAAUUCAUGAACAUCUUUCCGGCAAAUACAAAUCAAGUUGUCUAUAGAUGGGAUGCCGCUAUGCCUGCUUUGAUGAUUACUAAAGAUUUGACAAAGGGUUAUUGUUGUAUGGACAUUUUCUUCUGUUAUCUUUGUUGAGGUGUUAUCACAACAACGUUUUUUGGUUAAUUAUUGUUCUGUGACUUAACAAAUAUGUGUUGUUAGUGAAGUGCAUAUUGCUGAAGUAGAUGUUGUAUAUGACCAUCAUACUGCAAUGAAAGGCAGCACCGCCACAAUGAAUGAUAGGUACGAUUCCAGGAAAAGCAAUAUCUGAUUUUAACUCUAAUAACUUAGAAUCAAUGAUAGGUUUAGACGGGUUCACUUAGAGCUUUGGCUAUUUUUUAAUGCUAAUAUUUGGUUCACAUCGAAAAAUAAUUUGUAUUAG
rnacentral:lncRNA from 1 species